UUCAGAGACUGGCACAUGGUGGGAGGUUUAGCAAUGACCCGUGUAGUAAGUUUACUCAGGGUGAGAUGAUAAGAAGACAUUACAUCAACUGUAAAGAUACACAUAAAUCAUGAUUUUACGACUAUGAAAACAGGUGAGACUAUGAAAGGCAAAUGGAUAUAUUUGUACAACAGUGAAAGUCAAACUUAUGGCUCUGAAGGGCAAGGAGUAAGAAAACCUUUGGGACCCAGUCAGUAAAACUCUCUUACAGUAACUGCUCAACCUUGCUCCAGAUCCUCUCAUCCGUCUGUCUCUGAUGAGCUAAACGAAGUAAGGCAAGUGCUUCUCUGAAGGAAUCAAGUAUGUUAAGUAUCUAAAGUUCAGGUUGAAACAGGCUGAACACACAGAAGAUCACCUGAUCUGGUGGCAUGAAGAAGUUACACAGAUGUCCUGCCCCCUGAGCAGGGAAUACUGCCCACAUGAACAAUUUCCAUGUAAGACUGCAUCAUGUGCAGUCAACCAUUUAACAAACCAUCUAUGUGUAAAUAUAUUAUCUUCAAUCAUUUCUGGUGAACUGGGUAUGAGGCAGUUAUCAGGGCUAUGCACCUGAAGGAAAACUUACAAUUGACACCAGUUAUCAAAGUGUCAAUUGUAAGCCGCUCAUUAUUACUCAUGCCCUCCCACCCAAAGCUGUAUAGUGCAUAAAAACCUAUUGGGUAUGGAGUGGUCUGACGGCUACAGUGAAUGGAGAAGUGGAAGUGAUCUUCAUUGUGAUGGUGGUGUGCCUCAGGGAACAGUUUUGGUACCUUUCCUAUUUCCCGUUGGUUGGUAUUUUUAAUUUUUUAUGUGAAACCAAAAACUCAAACAAUGAAGUGCAUGUAAGGUCACAACAGAAAUGAUCUUGCCUUCAGCACAAUGCCAAGAAGACACUGUGAGAGGAAAGAGGCCGACAGAUGCGUAAAAUGUGAAGAAUUCAGGGGAGGAGCUGAAAGUGAUCGUUCAUUCUAGACACCUGGAUGUUUUACUUACCUCCAUGCCAAGGGAACUGGAUGGAAAGAAAAGUAGUUAAUUUUGUCACAUUUCCUUAAAGAAUAUUAUGUCAGUUGUAUGAUCAUAACAAUGUGUUAAAGCUGUUUAAAAAGUCUUAAUCUCAUCAGAUACAAUGAGGGGACUAAUCAUUUGUUCUCCUGUGGUUCAACUGGUUGAGUAAGGUGCUAACCACACCAAGGCCAUGGGUUCCUUAACCAGGGAGAACACUGUUGAAAAUGUACAUCUCCACUGUAUUAUAACCAGGGAGAACACUGUUGAAAAUGUACAUCUCCACUGUAUUAUAACCAGGGAGAACACUGUUGAAAAUGUACAUCUCCACUGUAUUAUAACCAGGGAGAACACUGUUGAAAAUGUAUAUCUCCACUGUAUUAUAAGUCGCACUGAAUAAAAGCAAAGAAACGUAAAUGCAAUCACACUCACCAACUGCAGCAAUGGGUGGACCAGUUCGGCCCUGUUCACAGACCAGUUUAGCCCAGUUUAGCCUAACAGACCAGUUUAGCCUUGUUCACAGACCAGUUUAGCCCAGUUUAGCCUAACAGACCAGUUUAGCCCUGUUCACAGACCAAUUAUGUACAUGGUUUAAAUGGAUCAAGACAGAAUGUAAGAAGAGUGUAAUAUAUGUGUUAUUUUAUAUAUGCAGAUACACUGUGUAAACCUCCCACUGCCACAAAUGAGCUUUGAUGGUUCAACUGGCAUAUUUACAGAAAUCCAUGUGUAUUGUUUUUAACAUUCUUAACCCAACAAAGUCAAAUCAAAGGCCUCUGAUGCUGUCAUUGUUACUCUAUGGAUGAGAAAUGAAUGUGUCCUAUUCUUGUGAUAUUCAGAGAUUAGCAUUUAAAUCAAUAAUAACAAUAUGAUAUUAAAUGGUGGUGUUUCAGUUGUUUGUUCAGAAAUGUAAUCAAUUACUCGUUAUAGCCUUAUAUAAUAGC
ensembl:lncRNA